rnacentral:rRNA from 1 species
AAACUAACAAGGAUUCCCCUAGUAACGGCGAGUGAAGCGGGAAGAGCUCAAAUUUAAAAUCUGGCAGUCUACGAUUGUCCGAAUUGUAAUCUCGAGAAGUGUUUUCCGCGUUGGCCUGUGCACAAGUCCCUUGGAACAGGGCGUCAUAGAGGGUGAGAAUCCCGUCCUUGGCACAGAUACCCAAUGCUUUGUGAUACACUCUCAAUGAGUCGAGUUGUUUGGGAAUGCAGCUCAAAAUGGGAGGUAAAUUCCUUCUAAAGCUAAAUACUGGCGAGAGACCGAUAGCGAACAAGUACCGUGAGGGAAAGAUGAAAAGCACUUUGGAAAGAGAGUCAAACAGUACGUGAAAUUGUUGAAAGGGAAACGAUUGAAGUCAGUCGUGCCUGCCUAGAUUCAGCCUUUUGGUGUAUUUCUAGGUCGGCAGGUCAGCAUCAGUUUGGGAGGGUUAACAAGGGGAUUAGGAAUGUGGCAACCUCGGUUGUGUUAUAGCCUAGUUUCGUAUUGAUCUUGCUGGACUGAGGAACGCAGUGCGCCCGCAAGGGUAGGUCUUCGGACACUUUCGCACUUAG